GUGCCAGCAGCUGCGGUUAGACCAUGCUAGGUGUUGGAAGUUAAUCGGUUUGUAGUUAUACGGCGGGAUUAAUAGUAUGUUUGUUAGGUUUAUUUAGGGGUGAAAUAUGUAAUUUAAUUUUAGCAAGUAUUGAAAAUUAUUUGUUGUAAAAGCUAUUAAUUUUUAGAUAUAAACUAGGAUUAGAUACCCUAUUAUACUAGUACGAAAUUUAUAAAAGCUUGAGUAGUAAUUAGUUAUGGUCUUGAAACUUAAAGAAUUUGGCGGUAUCCUAGCCUAGUUAGAGGAACCUGCACUAUAAACGAUAUUCCUCGAAUUAUCUUACUUUACUUUGUAAUUAGUUUGUAUACCUCCAUUAUAAAAUAAUAUUUAAAAUUAUUUAUUAAAAUAAAGCAUUUUAUGAUAUUAGGUCAAGGUGCAGCCUAUGGUGAAGAAGUUGUGGGUUACAAUAUGUUGUUUAUGUGCGGAUGAUAUCUUGAAUUGGUUAUUUGAAGGUGGAUUUAAUAGUAAGUUUGUUUUAAUAUGGCAUACUGAUAGUAGUUUUAGGAUAUGUACAUAUCGCCCGUCGCUCUCGUAUUAAGAUGAGAUAAGUCGUAACAAAAGUAGGGAA
rnacentral:rRNA from 1 species